GACGAACCGAGCGAACGUUGUUCGGAAUAACUGGGCUUAAAGGGCGCGUAGGCGGGCCGCCAAGUUCGAGGUGAAAUCCUCCGGCUCAACCGGAGAACUGCCUCGAAUACUGGAGGUCUCGAGGCGGGUAGGGGCAUGCGGAACUGUGGGUGGAGCGGUGAAAUGCGUUGAUAUCCACAGGAACUCCGGUGGCGAAGGCGGCAUGCUGGACCCGAUCUGACGCUGAGGCGCGAAAGCCAGGGGAGCAAACGGG
rnacentral:rRNA from 1 species